rnacentral:rRNA from 1 species
AGUGAACGCUGGCGGUAGGCCUAACACAUGCAAGUCGAACGGCAGCACAGUAAGAGCUUGCUCUUACGGGUGGCGAGUGGCGGACGGGUGAGGAAUACAUCGGAAUCUACUUUUUCGUGGGGGAUAACGUAGGGAAACUUACGCUAAUACCGCAUACGACCUACGGGUGAAAGCAGGGGAUCUUCUGACCUUGCGCGAUUGAAUGAGCCGAUGUCGGAUUAGCUAGUUGGCGGGCUAAAGGCCCACCAAGUGGAGGAUCCGUGGCUGGUCUGAGUGGAUGGUCAGCCACACUGGAACGGAGACACGGUCCAGACUCCUACGGGAGGCAGCAGUGGGGAAUAGUGGACAAUGGGCGCAAGCCUGAUCCAGCCAUACCGCGUGGGUGAAGAAGGCCUUCGGGUUGUAAAGCCCUUUUGUUGGGAAAGAAAAGCAGCAGGUUAAUACCCCGCUGUUCUGACGGUACCCAAAGAAUAAGCACCGGCUAACUUCGUG